rnacentral:rRNA from 1 species
AUUGAACGCUGGCGGCAGGCCUAACACAUGCAAGUCGAGCGGAUGAAGGGAGCUUGCUCCUGGAUUCAGCGGCGGACGGGUGAGUAAUGCCUAGGAAUCUGCCUGGUAGUGGGGGAUAACGUCCGGAAACGGGCGCUAAUACCGCAUACGUCCUGAGGGAGAAAGUGGGGGAUCUUCGGACCCCACGCUAUCAGAUGAGCCUAGGUCGGAUUAGCUAGUUGGUGGGGCAAAGGCCUACCAAGGCGACGAUCCGUAACUGGUCUGAGAGGAUGAUCAGUCACACUGGAACUGAGACACGGUCCAGACUCCUACGGGAGGCAGCAGUGGGGAAUAUUGGACAAUGGGCGAAAGCCUGAUCCAGCCAUGCCGCGUGUGUGAAGAAGGUCUUCGGAUUGUAAAGCACUUUAAGUUGGGAGGAAGGGCAGUAAGUUAAUACCUUGCUGUUUUGACGUUACCAACAGAAUAAGCACCGGCUAACUUCGUG